GCAAACUUGGUCAUUUAGAGGAAGUAAAAGUCGUAACAAGGUCUCCGUUGGUGAACCAGCGGAGGGAUCAUUACCGAGUUCUCUGCAACUCCCAACCCUGUGAACCAUACCAAACUCUGUUCUCGUUGCUUUCUGGCGGGCGGCCUGCCCGCCUGCCAGGGGCGACUUGCGCAAACCUUCUUUUUAUUUUCGUACCUGAACCGUCUGAGCACGAUUUUUUACAAAUCAAAUCAAAACUUUCAACAACGGAUCUCUUGGCUCUGGCAUCGAUGAAGAACGCAGC
rnacentral:misc_RNA from 1 species